GAUGAACGCUGGCGGCGUGCCUAAUACAUGCAAGUCGAGCGAACAGACGAGGAGCUUGCUCCUCUGACGUUAGCGGCGGACGGGUGAGUAACACGUGGAUAACCUACCUAUAAGACUGGGAUAACUUCGGGAAACCGGAGCUAAUACCGGAUAAUAUAUUGAACCGCAUGGUUCAAUAGUGAAAGACGGUUUUGCUGUCACUUAUAGAUGGAUCCGCGCCGCAUUAGCUAGUUGGUAAGGUAACGGCUUACCAAGGCGAGGAUGCGUAGCCGACCUGAGAGGGUGGUCGGCCACCCGGGAACUGAGACACGGUCCAUACUCCUACGGGAGGCAGCAGUAGGGAAUCUUCCGCAAUGGGCGAAAGCCUGACGGAGCAACGCCGCGUGAGUGAUGAAGGUCUUCGGAUCGUAAAACUCUGUUAUUAGGGAAGAACAAAUGUGUAAGUAACUAUGCACGUCUUGACGGUACCUAAUCAGAAAGCCACGGCUAACUACGUG
rnacentral:rRNA from 1 species